rnacentral:rRNA from 1 species
CAGUCGCCGCGGUAAUACGAAGGGGGCUAGCGUUGUUCGGAAUUACUGGGCGUAAAGCGCACGUAGGCGGAUCGAUCAGUCAGGGGUGAAAUCCCAGGGCUCAACCCUGGAACUGCCUUUGAUACUGUCGAUCUGGAGUAUGGAAGAGGUGAGUGGAAUUCCGAGCGUAGAGGUGAAAUUCGUAGAUAUUCGGAGGAACACCAGUGGCGAAGGCGGCUCACUGGUCCAUUACUGACGCUGAGGUGCGAAAGCGUGGGGAGCAAACAGGAUUAGAUACCCCAGUAGUCCCUGUCUCUUAUAC